CCUACGGGAGGCAGCAGUGGGGAAUAUUGGGCAAUGGGCGAAAGCCUGACCCAGCAACGCCGCGUGAAGGAAGAAGGCUUUCGGGUUGUAAACUUCUUUUGAUAGGGAAGAGCAGAAGACGGUACCUGCCGAUUAAGCCAUGGCUAACUACGUGCCAGCAGCUGCGGUAAUACGUAGGUGGCAAGCGUUGUACGGAUUUACGGGGUGAAAAGGGCGUGUAGGCGGGCUGACAAGUCAGAUGGGAAUUCCGGGGGCUCAACCUCCGAACUGCAUUUGAAAGUGUAGGUCUUGGGUAUCGGGGAGGCAGGCGGAAUUCCUGGUGUAGCGGUGAAAUGCGUAGAUAUUAGGAGGAACACCAGUGGCGAGGGCGGCCUGCUAGACGACAACUGACGGUGAGGCGCGAAAGCGUGGGGAGCAAACAGGAUUAGAUACCCGGGUAGU
rnacentral:rRNA from 1 species